GUGCAAUUUGUAGAGGCUGCAGCACACGAGAGUGAACAGCAGAAAGAGGCUUCUUGGAAACAUAACCAGGAAUUGCGAAAAGCCUUGCAGCAGCUACAAGAAGAAUUGCAGAAUAAGAGCCAACAGCUUCAUGCCCGGGAGGCUGAAAAAUACAAUGAGAUUCGAACCCAGGAACAAAACAUCCAGCACCUAAACCAUAGUCUGAGUCACAAGGAGCAGUUGCUUCAGGAAUUUCGGGAGCUCCUACAGUAUCGAGAUAACUCAGACAAAACCCUUGAAGCAAAUGAAAUGUUGCUUGAGAAACUUCGCCAGCGAAUACAUGAUAAAGCUGUUGCUCUGGAGCGGGCUAUAGAUGAAAAAUUCUCUGCUCUAGAAGAGAAAGAAAAAGAACUGCGCCAGCUUCGUCUUGCUGUGAGAGAGCGAGAUCAUGACUUAGAGAGACUGCGCGGUGUCCUCUCCUCCAAUGAAGCUACUAUGCAAAGUAUGGAGAGUCUCCUGAGGGCCAAAGGCCUGGAAGUGGAACAGUUAUCUACUACCUGUCAAAACCUCCAGUGGCUGAAAGAAGAAAUGGAAACCAAGUUUAGCCAUUGGCAGAAGGAACAAGAGAGUAUCAUUCAGCAGUUACAGACGUCUCUUCAUGAUAGGAACAAAGAAGUGGAGGAUCUUAGUGCAACAUUGCUCUGCAAACUUGGACCAGGGCAGAGUGAGAUAGCAGAGGAGCUGUGCCAGCGUCUACAGCGAAAGGAAAGGAUGCUGCAGGACCUUCUAAGUGAUCGAAACAAACAAGUGGUGGAACAUGAAAUGGAGAUUCAAGGCCUGCUUCAGUCUAUGAGCACCAGGGAGCAGGAAAGCCAAGCUGCUGCAGAGAAGAUGGUGCAAGCCUUAAUGGAAAGAAAUUCAGAAUUACAGGCCCUGCGCCAGUAUUUCGGAGGAAGAGACUCCCUGAUGUCCCAAACACCCAUCUCUAACCAACAAGCUGAAGUUACCCCCACUGGCCGUCUUGGAGAACAGACUGAUCAAGGUUCAAUGCAGAUACCUUCCAGAGAUGAUAGCACUUCACUGACUGCCAAAGAGGAUGCCAGCAUACCCAGAUCCACUUUAGGAGACUUGGACACAGUUGCAGGGCUGGAAAAAGAACUGAGUAAUGCCAAAGAGGAACUUGAACUCAUGGCUAAAAAAGAAAGAGAAAGUCAGCUUUACCCCUCAAACAUGGGAGAAAAAGUUUCAGCAUUUUAAUUCAAAUUGGUAAAAGGCUGAGCAACCCUUAAAGCUGCCGUAAUGAAAGAAGACUGUGAGCUAGCUUAAAAAAGAAAGAAGGGGAAGAAACAAAACCCCUGUGUAGUAGAGUGUCGAAAUGAGAUGAGCAUUUAUUUGUCUCCAUCGAAUUCCUUA
rnacentral:sRNA from 1 species